AGCGAACGCUGGCGGCAGGCCUAACACAUGCAAGUCGAACGAACCUUUCGGGGUUAGUGGCGGACGGGUGAGUAACACGUGGGAACGUGCCUUUAGGUUCGGAAUAACUCAGGGAAACUUGUGCUAAUACCGAAUGUGCCCUUCGGGGGAAAGAUUAAUCGCCUUUAGAGCGGCCCGCGUCUGAUUAGCUAGUUGGUUGAGGUAAUGGCUCACCAAGGCGACGAUCAGUAGCUGGUCUGAGAGGAUGAUCAGCCACAUUGGGACUGAGACACGGCCCAAACUCCUACGGGAGGCAGCAGUGGGGAAUCUUGCGCAAUGGGCGAAAGCCUGACGCAGCCAUGCCACGUGAAUGAUGAAGGUCUUAGGAUUGUAAAAUUCUUUCACCGGGGACGAUAAUGACGGUAACCGGAGAAGAAGCCCCGGCUAACUUCGUG
rnacentral:rRNA from 1 species